rfam:Selaginella moellendorffii unplaced genomic scaffold SELMOscaffold_57, whole genome shotgun sequence.
AGUGCAGAUGAUGAUUCAAUCGUCUAGAUAGGGACAGCUGAAAAUCUCUUUCGUGCUGAUCACUUAAAAAUGGGAAUCUCUCUGAUGCACU